AGCAUUUCAGCAUUUUACUGCUGAGUUUUUCAGUGAUCGCUCAUUCAGUACACGCUUUAGAAGCUGCAUGACUUUUACUGUCUAAGCAAAUGGAAAAGGAAUCAGCCUCCGGCUGGUAAAAUGCAUCCUGGAGGGUCUUAAUGGUGUUGUAUAGUGAGGAAAGAAGUCCUAUAUUUGAAAGUUCAUGAAUGUGUGUACCACAGACCACAAACCUGUAAAGCGAUUUUUGUGCCUGGACAUACCUCUGACACUGGAGCAGUUCUGCGACCCAGAUCUGACUAAAUGAAAGUCUUCACUUGCCUACUUCAUCCAUUUGAAAACUAGAAUAUAAAAAAAAAAACCCAUCUGUGUUUCUAAUAAAAAUCUGGAACAACUUCCAGUGAUGAUCUGAAGGCGCAUAUGGAUGUUUUUGUAGUCCUCCUGCUUGCCAUAGGACUCUCUGGGAAUUGAGAAUGCUUUUAGGAUCACCAUUAAGCAUGUCUCUUUAUCUUGGGUAAAGACUAAUCGAGAGCAAGAGAAAGGAGGGGGUACCCAUUCUGCUACCACUGCAACUGAAUAAUACAUGUCCAUUUGACAAGCAUUGCUCACAGAUCAUCUUAUAGAACAGAAUAUGAUUAAGAUAGGAAUAUUAUUUGUAAGGAAGACAGAUCCCACCUUCAUUCAGAGUAAUCUGAAGAGUUUCUAUUUUUAGCCUCAUUAUUAGCACAACAUCCGCUCAAUUAUUAAGCUCACGUUGGGAGUACUUAUUCUCUGAGAACUAUUUCAGCAAGGUCACCUUACCUCUUUGUAUCCUGUGAUGGCAGAGGUGACGGGUAGGAGGAGAGAAAGAGUUGAACAUCAGCUGUUCCAUCUCUGUCUGAAGAUUUCAAGGAAAUCAAAGAAUUUACCCAUGUAAAUUGUGCGAGAAAUCUUGGGAUACUGCUCAUGGCUUUGAAGCAUCCUGCUAAGUGUACAUUCUUGCAAGUUCCAGUCAAACUAAUCUGCAAAUAAUCUCACUUGGAGCAAUGGAAUCUACUACAAAAGAAGAAAACUGGUGAUUUUUUUAAAAGCAUUUUGCCUUCAGAAUGGCGUAGGGUGCAAACUUGGGACUGGAUGCAGUUGUGCCCUCACUACCAUCUGUUCCUGAAGAAGAGACCUUAUGAGGAGCAGCUGAGAGAACUGGGACUGUUUGGUCUGGAGAAGAGGAGGCUGAAGGCAGUGAUACUUUGUGGACAAGCCAGUAUCUGGUGACAGAGAUCAUGGGUGGAGUACUGCUGCAAGGGCCCCUGAAAGCUUCAUCUUCCUUUGGAGGAGACAUAUAUCAAAACACAGUGCUCAAUAAAAGGAACAAUUACAUCUAGAUGCUCUGGAAAAAGAUGUGAAGAAUUCAAGGCCAAAACAUGGACUAAAAUAAAACAGGUAAAGGGGAAAUCAAGCUUAAAAACAAGUUGUGACUCAUGUAAAAAUAACAUCUAGGAAAUGAUUAAGAGGAUAACAAAUAGAAGCACCUAUCAUGUUAGGUUUAAGACAGCCUUGGUAGAACUAUAAUAAAAGUUUUAGUGUUCUAAGAUUAAUUAUUUCUGUUUGUAGGAGUGUUUGCCAUUAGUGAUUCAGUCUAUAGGGCUGCCAAUAGAAGUAGAAUUUCUUACCCUGCAGCAUCCAGUUUACACAUAGCAUAUUUAGUAGGAUCAGAAGUAGUAGAGGUAAAAUAAACAGUAGAAGCUUAAUUCCUGUUGAUCCAUACAUUCUUAGGCAGAAUCUUCAUCUACAUUUCAUUCAGUGAUUUCUCUCUAAGAUCUACUAAGCAGCCUAUCAACUGUUACCCCGUUCAAACAAUUUCUGAUUUUGGCACACUGCUUCAAACUGAAUACUAGAGAAUCUGACUAUGUAUAUUUAGGGAGGUAAAAGAAAGUGGAAAAAGUAGGAAGUGUUUCAUGAAAGCAAAGGAAAUAAUUAGCUGUACAUCAUAUGAUAAACGGUGGCAUAGUGGUUAGCCUAAUGAUGCUGUCUGAAUCAGUUAUAUACUACAGACAUAAAUCAGUGUAAUUCCAGGAACAAUAAAGUACUAUGCAGAAAGCAAUGACUCUUCAGAUUUUUUUUUUUAUACUUCUAAGAGAAUUAUAUUUCUUUCAUAUUGUGUGCCUUCCUUUUUUAAAAAUGAAAAGCCUGCUUCACUUGUGGAUGUGAAUCAGAACUCUAUGAUUUUCAUCAAGUAAGUAAACAGAGUUAUUUCGUUUUUAUAUAAAAUGCCUGUGAAGAUAGUCUCAGAGAAUUGCUUUGUGGGCAACAAUGUUAUUUUAUAUUUUGCUGAACUACUAUUGCAAACAUUCAGUUAUCUAGUAAUGAAAAUGUGUGCACAGCCAUGAUUAGCAUUAGCCAGCACACAGUCUACAAAGUUAGAAAGCACAAGGUGGAAACACUUAUAGAAAAAACAAAACACCUGCAAUUUGUAAAGGCUGUAACAUGCAAUUUGGUCAAAAGCAUUUUAAAUGGUAGUGGUAUUUUCUUAUGGGUUUUAUUAAGAAUCUUCUGCUAGUGUGAUGUGUGUGAGGGCAGCAGAAUUACCUGGAGCUCUGUCAAUUUCAUAGGCUGAGUAUGUUUGCAGAGUUCUGUCAUGCAAUCAUUAUGCUGAUAGUUUAUAAGGAGUAGCUAAUCUUUAAUUAUGGCAUUUGAAAGAAACUCAGAUGUAUAUGCUUACACAGAUAUUUUACGUGCAUGAGAAAAUACAGAUUUUAAUAUUGCGUGAUGUCAAACUUCCGUAUUUCUUAGGUAUACAGUACUUGUGUUUGCAGUAGGCUCCUCAGCAAAGAAGAUUGUUCUCCUUAGAGUCUUGGAGCUAGAAGUCACUUCUUUCUCACUGUGUUUGAAACCAGUUGUGUUUGAAUAUGUCCUCAUGUCAAGACAGCAGCUAAAUCCUAUAUGAAACACAUUCAUGUGUCAUAAGCUAUUCAAGUGGAGAGAGCAACUGAACCAUUGUAGUUUUUGUACUUUUCUUGUCGUGGUAUCAUUAAGUGAUAAACAUUAAUUUUAUAAAAUACAAAUCUUGAUCUCUCAUUCCAUUAGCAGAAUAUGCUUUUAGACCUUUUAUUCAACUGCAAGCUAAUUUUUUUUAAUGGCUUGUGCAUUUGACAGCACAAUAAUAAUAUGAACAAGUAAUAAAUAUUUUCAAAUAGGUAAUAAAAGCAUAACAUUAAAAACCUACCCAAAUUCUACCAGAAAACUGUGCCUCUUCUGUGCAGAUCAUUUGUUUGUCUUUAAGCUCCAUGAAAUAAAAGGUUUAUGAAGUUAUAAACAUUAUGUGAAAAUUGUAUUGUCAGAGAUGGGUAAAGUUGGGACUGCAAAUUGCUUUUAUCCUGAGAGUGAAACGACUGAUGUAUAGCAUAUGAGAGUGUAGGACUGGGGAAGGGAAAACUUGGUGAGAAAAUUACUGCUUCCAGUUUUUUGACUGAGUACAACUUUAUAACGAGCAGCAGUUAAAAGCAUUUCACACACUGAUUUCUCUUCCACAAUUUCAAAAAUCAGGACACAAAGGGUUGGGUUUUUUUUUCCUAAAUUUUAAAAGCAUGUGAACAUUUGUGAUUCAUGCUCAGUUUGCAUACGUGCACUGUGGUACAGCUCUGUGGGCAACACCUGCAGUCAUCCCCUAGAAGUGAGCAGCCAGCCUGCAGCCAGGCUCACGCUUGCCACCAGCACCACAAACACUUAAAGAGACAAAGUAAGAUGAAUUACAACCUAAGGAGUGUGUAAUAUUUUAGCUUUUAGAGGAAAAGAUUUAGUAAGAGUGAACCCUUACUGUGUACGUGUACUGUAAAAGUACUGCGUACUUUUAGUCAAGACACCUUCUAUGAAUUAGCAUAAGAAUUAUGCAGAUAAGCUCUUUAUCUUGCUUCUGUGUAGUCUUUGAAGUCUUUAGAAGUUCAGAAAUUAAGCUAAAGGAAACUGAAUAUGUAAGCUGCAUUUUUCAGUACAGAUUAACUGUGCUAAGUAUAGGUAUUGACUCACAUCUGUAUCUAGUGACAAUCAGUUCUCCACAUGCCCAUAUAAUUUUAUAUCUAAGAUGAAUUUAACAAUUCACAGUGCAUUGGAUUCCUUUGAAUUCAAAUUUAUUUUUAUUUUCUUAACAACAACAACAAAAAAAAAAGUUAUUGUCAUGAACAUUUUAGAAUAAUGCUCUUGUUUUUGAGAUGCCCAGAAAAAAGAAAAUAAAAACCAAACAUUACAUGUACUUACAAGCUAGAGGGAGGGAGGGAAAUUGGAAAUGCUGACAAAGAAAAGAGGUGGGAAACUUAUAUUUCUCAAAAAGAAGAAUUUGAAAGGUCCUUGGUCCCUUUUAGAGAUAGCUGCCACCAUUUUUUAUGCAAAUGGUCUAUAGCAAAGAUUUUAAAAUUGAGGGACUUGUUAAAAAUAUGGAGUAACCUGAUGCUUACUCCAAAGCUGGCUUAUCUGUACCACAAGGAAAUGAUUUAUCUCAAUAAUGUGGUAGAUAAUAGUCUAACAAAAAACCUAACCCACCUCACCUAAUUUAAUGUGAUUCUGUUCUGGGAACACACAUUUUCCACUGAAUUACAUUUAUCAAAACAGAUUAUCAAAGCUUUAUAAUUAACAUCCUAGCAAAUAAAAAUUAGCAUAUAUUAUGUGAAUACUGUGUGUUAAUUAAAUAAUAUUUGGUGAGGCACCCACCUAUGCAUGCCCAGGAAUUACAAAGUUAAUGAAAAAUGGCAGUACACAAAACUGUAACUAAUUAAGCAAGACGCAAAAAAUUCUGUAGAUGUUUGAGUGACUAUGUUAGAAUUUACUCAUUAUCAUAUUUACAUGGUAAAUUUAUUCCAGUACUGAAGUUUGGAAACUUACUGCAAGCAAUUUAAAGUCAACUUGCUAUCUCCUGUAUGCAUUUGUACCCAUUGUAUUUUUUAAUGUGCUUUUCAACUUCUGUAUUUUAAAUUUAGAAAGUGUAGAUACCUAAAGGGUUUUGGCUUAAAAGGGAGUAAAUACAAGAGUAAAUAAUGAAACUCCAUAGUACUGUAACACCAUCACUGGCAUGCAGCUCCUUUGAGUGUUCAUUAAUGUGUGACACACACACUGUAUUACAGGCUCUAAAGCUGCUGCUGUUGACCAGAAAAGCCACAGUAGAUCUGAUGCUGGGCAGUGCUGUAUCCUCACUGGCUCCCUGUGCCCAAGGGUGAGGAUGCAAAAUAAUGUUGCAUUCGGCCUUCUUAUUUUCAGGUGUCAAACUUUCUGAAGUUGUUCUUCCACCUUAGAGAGGAAAGGAUAAAUAGAGAGGAAAUAUCACAGAAUGUUUUGACCCUAGGUAGGCUGAAUUAGCCUGUUUGAAUUAGUUUUGUAGACACUAAAGUAUGAACAUAAGAAGCACCUCACAUUUGUAACUCACCAAUCAGAGAAUCAUGGAACCAUUAAGGUUGGAAAGAACACUAAGAUCAUCUGGUCCAACCACCAGCCCGUGCCCAUGACGGCUCUGGGCCGUGUCCCUCAGUGCGUCAUCUACCCUUUUCUUGAAAAGGAUGGGGACACCUCUCUGGGCAGCCUGCCUUCACAAUAGUUCAUUCUCUGCAUAUAGAUUAAAUACCCCCAUGUGAAAUAGAAUACAAUAUAAACCCUACUCUACUCUUGAUAUGAUGUUUUAUGUAGGCUUUAUGAGAAUUAUGUGAACUAAUUGACGAGAUGAUUGUUUGUUUGAAUGUAGGGACAGUCAGUUGUUACUCUGUUCUGUGAUAAGUGCAAAACAACAACAAAACAAAAAAAAAAGACAGUCGGGAUUAUAAAACACAAAUAUGUGCAGUGGAAGAGCAGUUUAGAUGAGAAACCAGCACAGUUUGUGUCCUUAAUUUAUUUCCAUGAUUUUCUAAUUCAUACUGUGAAAUGCUCUGGCUGUUUUAAUUAAACCUGUAAACUGAAGACUGUUUGCUUAUUUUCUUUCUAUAAAAAAUAUUUUGUUUAUAGAGCAUAUGUAGUUUAUUUAGAAUGCUAGCUCUCACUGUUCAGAUGUAUUUGAUGUUCCUUUGUAUACGCUUUGAGCUUGUGAGAGUUUUUCUUCACUAAAAUGUCUUGGGAAGCAGUGCCUAUCUAUCAGUUGAAGUGCAUCUUUACUGAUCAUGCAACAGGAAUAUAGUGAGCAGCGGUCCUAUGUGCUGACACCAAGGAUGGGACAUCAUGAGAAACAAAGCUUUCUGAUUUUACUGUCUGUCCAUCUCAUCCUUGAUAUCCUUUUUAUUUUAUUUUUUGUUUUUAAUUUGAUGCUGUUAGAAGCUCAAAGUCAGUCAGAGUGAUAUAAAAAUAUCCGCGUGAAGCAACAGUCUGUCAUCUGAACUCUACCAGAGCAUAGAACAUCAGAAGAUCUACUUGUCAGAGCCAUUAGAAUACUAUUAAGGAUUUGCUUGUACAGUGGACCAGAAUAAUCUGGAAAUACAGUGUCUCCACACAGCAGGCUGUACGCUCUUGUAGCCUUCAGUUCCAUUGCGUGCUACAUUACUACAUGUCAUUUCUGGCUAAUGCCUCACAUCUUAGUGAGCAAGAUUAUUUUAAUUUUAUAAUUUAUCUGUUUUUUCACUCUUGAAGAAAGAAACCUUGCUUGUCAUAUUCAUUAAGCAUUUUUUUCUUAUUUCUCACUAACAUACCACUUGUCUCAUAUAUGUAAUGAACUUACACAGUUCUUAUACAUUUUCUAUUCAAAACUAGCCAUGUUGUAGUUGCGGGGGCUUCUACUUUCUGGUUCUUUAACUGGCAUUUGAAUCAAAAUUGUAGAGUAUUUAGUACUUUUUUUUUAAGUAACUGUUGUUUCUGAGAGUUAAAAACAAUGAGACAUUGAAUCAGUAAAAAGAUUACAAGGUGAUCUUUUGUAAGUAGAAAGAAACAGUUCUUCUCAUGCACAGUGAUAAGCUCAUUGAAGUAAGCAUGAUGAUAGAAAAACUGAAAAUAUAUAGAUUGUUUUAUCAGAAGUGAUGUUUACUUUCAUGCUAUGGGUUGUUUGUUUUUUUUUAAAGUUUUUUCUUUGUAUGAAUUUCCUUUUCCCUUUCACUUUUUGCAAUUAAACAGUUUUGUGAUUUCCAUAGAUGGCAGAUGUGCUUGGUAUCUGGUUUGGCCAGCUGGUAGAUUUGUAUCAAAGAUCCAGCCAUCAGAGAACAGGUUUAAUUCUUCCAUUUUUGAAUACUUGAAUGAUAUUCAUUUUACAAAUCCAGGACUGUAUGUUCUCUUGCAAAGAAGUACUGCAUGUUAUUUCUCUGUUUCUGAUCAGAUCAUGCACAUGUUGUAGGAAAGGUAAGUUAGUCUAGGACAAUUAGAAAAGACAUCUUCCUCUAAAAGGAAAAAAAAAAAAAGUAGAUGAAAUGAACAUUUCAAAGAUGAUUCUCUUCUCUUAGACUAUUAAAAAAAAAUGUUUUGAUUACAGAAAGUCAGUAGGACAGAGAUAAAGGAAAGGUGAUUGGAAGACAUUAGGCUGGUAAUUACAGCGUGUUUUAUUUGAGGAACAUGCAGUUUGAAAUCUGCUACACCAUCUUUUGUUGCUUCAGGUGGUACCGUAACAGUGGAUUAGAAAGGCAAGCCCACAGCUGGAGAUACCAUUUUUAAUAAAUUGAGGAGAGUACUUCUAUCAUACGAAAUACUCAGGCUUAUGAUUGUCAUCCUUAAGAUUUUAAUGUUACAAAAUUACAGCUUUUUUGCAGUAAGACCCUAACAGUCAGCACUUCAAUUUGUAAGUAUCAUUACAGGGCAAAAAGUUCUUGGGACUGCACGUGUUGCAACACCAGUGAACUCAUUGUUAUUACCACUGUCAUUGUCUGAAUAUAUUAGCAGCUAUAAUGUGUUAAUAUGCAAGUGUUAAAUCUGAUUUGUUAAUCAAGAAGACAGUCCUUGGGAAAAAAAAAAAUUGGGGGGGGGGGGAUUAAGAAUAGUUGUAUUAUUUUUGUGACCAUUGCUGAUUUGGUUUUUUUUGUUUGUUUUUUAGAGAGAUCAAGUCUGUCUUUUCUUCUUUUCUGAAAAUGUUUAAUUUUAAUUACAGUCUUUAAAGAAUAUCAAAUUCACCAAAGCACCAUCAUGACUGAUACCCAAAGAAGUGCAUGUGAGAAAUCUCCCAGUCAGUUGUGGGGUGAAGCACUUAAUGCAAACAGAACUGAAUGAAUUGGAGGCAAGGUGAUGAAAAAGGAAAGAGUUGCAUUUGAAUGAGAGAUCAAUCACAGAGACUGAAAGUGACAGCCCUAUCACAUUUGUUUGUGGACUAUGGAGGCAGGCACAAAGGAUAAGCAAUUGACAAGGAGGUAGUUUGGUAGAGAAAAUGGAAAAACAUGGAAGAGUAUAAUUCCACCAAAGAAAUGACUUCUUCUCUUCUGAGCUUCUCUUUGCAUAAGAAAACUGCAGCACAGAUUUGUUUGUUUGAAUGAGUCAUUUGAUUUUGGAUACUGUCUUGGUUUUUCAAAAGUCUUUUAUUUUGGAAUUAAACUCUGCAUCUUGGACAAGGCAGACAGGCAGUUAAUUAGACAAAAAAAAAAAAUGGCAUUGACUGCGCUUGGGAAAAAAAAUACACACUUUUAUAACUAAAAUGAUUGCUGAGGAUAUGCUAUUGAUUUGAUAGUUUUGCAGCUGAAAAUGUUUGCUAAUUGGAGAACCAAUUCCAUAUUUGUAUUCCCAGCACAGAAGCAAGAAGCUUCUGAAUUAAGCAUCAAGAGCAAAUGCUUGCUGAAGGAAAAAAGAAAUCCAAUAAAAAUCCAGGGUGUGAUACUGGAUGAAACAGCAGUCUAUUGGCCUUGUUCUGGGCAUUCUAAAACUGCCAUACAAAUGGACAGGUAGAAACUGUCACAGAAAUGAAUAAAAAAUUACUGUUAAUGAAUGCCAGUAGGCAGUUAUGGCUGACCAAGGUAAUAACAUUUUUCAACUAUGUUUUUCACCAAAAUAUUCCAUGUGGUUUUAACUAUUGUUCUAAUGGUUAACGAUGAGGAGCAGAACAUUCUGAUGUGUUGCCUUCAUUUUCACAGAAUUGUUUCUCUUUUGGCGGACCAUUGUGAAAGAGAACCAAGUAAACAGGAAGAGUAGACAUUUUGCAUAUUUCCCUUUUUAGUUCUUGAAAUUUUUAAAAAUUCCAAUAAAAUAUCUAAGCAAUAUGAGAAUUAGAACAGAUCAUUUUUAAAAUUGGUGCAUUUUAAAUUUUGCUGUGGAUAGUUUUAAUUAUUUAAUCAGGCUGCAUUAACCUUGUGUUAAUGCUCUAUGCAAGAAUGACAAGUCAUUGCUCUUUUUUAUUUCGCAUGUCAUUCAAAUAGCAGAAAGUGUUUGGGUGAUCUACAGGAGCCGAAUACUUGCAAGCUGCAAGUAACUUCUGGCAGACUGACACCAGUCACUUCCUUGCAUCUGUUUCCCACUAUGAUAUUCUCAUUUCUGAAAAGGUGCCAGUCACUAUCUCAGGUAAUUCCAAUAAGUAUAUGUCUAGCAGUAUGAGAAAGAAAAAGAUCUUUAAUAAAUCCCCCCGCAACAAUAUGCUGCCAGCCCAUCCUUUCUACCCCCCGAAAAAUCCAUGGAGGUGUGGGAUGAUUGCUAGAAAGAUAACAUAAAAUAAAGAAGUAUGAAAAAAGAGCACUUGUUUCCUCCAAUGUGUGUGCCCUGUGCCACUUUAUAUCCCUUUCAUGUCCUUCCCUUCAUCCCUACUGUCUCAUUCCUUUUAUUAAUUGCUCUGCUUUUUUCCCUCUGCCUUUUCUUGCCUUUCUUUUUCUGCAGAAGUAAAACUUCUACUCUACUAAUUCAUUUUUGCUCAAUCAUUUUUCUUUUCUUCAUUGUCUCUUGACCAUAUAAGACUCCUUUCCUCUACCCCAGAGAUAGUUUCUCAUUUUUCUUACUUCACUCCUUGUGAUAUGUGUGCCCUUCCUUCUGUAUCUAAUUCUUUCUAUGUCACAUGCAUUCUGUCUUACUGACCCCCUUCUGCUCUUUCUUUUCAUGCUCUGCUCUUUCUUUUUAUGUCCUGAUUGACUUCUUUCCUACAGCUUCUACAUAACUCGUCCUGAUUUCCUUCUCUAUGUCUACCACAGUGCACAGCUGGCACAUCCAGCUGUGUCCCUCCUGUUUUAGUUUUGUUGUGUCAUUUCAACUUCUGAACUUCUUCCUUCCUUCCUUCCUUCCUUCUACCAUCUCACUGGGCUGCACCUGUAGCUACUUUUCUGGUUUAUUCUAUUCUAAGGGCAAAAAGGGAAAAGAAUUACUUGAAAGCAUGGCCCCUUUCAGAAAAGAAUGAGUUGGUGACAUGCCAUUGCACUCAGUGUCCUCUCCCUGUCCACCAGAGCAUGUCAGAGGCUGGCUGUGAAGAAUGGAGGAUUCAUGGCUGGUGCCUGCUGUGCUCUGAUUAUUCUGUACUUCCCAGAGCUGCAAGAAGCAGGGUAUAAUUAGAUUGGCAAUGAAGCUUCUUACAGUUUGGAAUCAUUUGUCAUUCCCACUGAUGGUUUUGUAUAGUGAAAGGUUGGUUUUAUUUAGAAAGACAGUUCUUGAAUUCCAGUAUGCCAAUCAUAAAUUGUAAGCCCAAGUUUACAAUCACUAGAAAAGAAAUGUGGGUUGUUUUUCCCCUUAGGUUUUAACUUGGAUGACUAACAGGUUAAUCCCUACAUGUUCAAGCCUUCUUCUAAUCUGUGAAGGUCCAAGGCCUAAAUCUAGAUGUCUUUGACAGUGAUGAACUGUUAGAUAGGAUGGCUGCAUCUGUACCAGCCUGCGAACACUCUUGUUCACGCUGUUAAAUCGUUAAUUACUGGACAGUUUUUGGCUCAUGGCAACUUAAUUAGCAUCUACUCAAUGCCUGACCACAAUCUGUGGAUCAGCAUAGAGCAGGAACCAGCCCCAAGAGGCAUCUGGGAUAGGACUUCUCUGUUUUGGAGAUUGGAGAUAGAAUUUACCUCAAUGGAAACAAGCUGUGGCUGUUAGUUGGCUGAAGGGCCUGAGAACAAUUUCUGGAUUUUUUUCCUUACUAACAUAUAAGGCAAAUCUAAUCUCUUGCUUCCUUAUUUUUUCAUUUUAUUGCUCAUAUUUCUAACAGCAGCUGUAAUUAUUUAUACCAAAGAUCAUUUUAACUCAGUGUCACCUCUCCAGUAGUAACUUCCCCUGAUAUUCAUAACAAAUGCAAAUGAUGUGUUCCUCAAAGAAAGCAGUGUAACGGUGGUCUUCUCCAACUAAUUUCCUGAUCUUUUUAGCUUGUGCAGAUUUCCUGUAUGCACAAUAUCCUUUGUCAAGAUUUACCAUCAACUGUUAUGUAGAGAAUCACCUCCUUUUUUGCUUCACUGAGCUUAGCUUCUAACUUCAGCUUUUAGAGCUUAUGUGCAAGAAGCAAUAAAAGGCUCACUGCUAUCCUUAAUCUGUCAUUUAUAAAUGUGUUGAGGAGUGCAGAUCUUAGUGCAGACUGCUGGGGUUGUCUACUGCUUAUCUCUCACCCUUGUAAUAGCUGAUCAUUUGUGCUUUUACCCUCUCUUGUCCUUUUACCAGGAGAUAUGGAUUUUUUGUUUGGGUUUCACUCAGUACUGAUACUGUGCAAAGUAAUGUACUGUUUUUAAUCUAGUCCAAGUUGCGUAGCACCCUAUGGACUUCAAUUCAGGCAAAUCAUUCAAAAUAGUCCUUAUGUGCCUGAAAUUCUGGACUGGCAGAGAGAUGAAUUUGAAUACGUCAAUAGCAACAGUAUCUUACUAAUAGUUGAACUAAUUCUUCACUCCCUUCCCUUCACCAGUAUAGUAUGUGAAUCUAUUAUUAAUGUUACUUACGAGCUUUUUAAAUCAGUAAAAUGAGCAGCACUGGACAAGCAUGGAACAUAUUUUGGUAUAUACAAAAAAUUUCUGUUCCUUUCUAUAGUAACAAUAUAUAAAUGUCUUUCUUUCUUUUGUUAAUUUACUUCAGAGCUAAUAACUAUCAGCAAGGCAAGGAUUUUUAAAAAUCUUUAAAUGAAAUUCAGUGUUUUGUGUCUGUUCUCUCCUGUCUACUGCUUCUUCCAUGCGCCUUAGAAAUGGGAAAGGCCUCCCAGUGUCAAAGAGCACUUUCCUGUGCUCUUCUACAGGCAAGACCCAUAUGAUUAGGUACUGAAAUUAGAAGCUCAGUUUUUUGCUAGGGUAAUGUUAACAUUUAGUAUGUUUUCAGGUUUCAUUUUUUUGUGAGCAUUAUCAGUUUUCCAGAUGCUCAAUCCAUCACUAUUUGUAAAAUCAUUUCCAGUUAACUCUGCAGUUUAACAAGGAUCGUUUCUGUCUUUAUGAGAUGUACUUGUCAUUGACCCAUCUCCUUCACCUUUUGCUGCAGAAAGAUAAAUUAUACAAGCAAUUUAUUCUAUUUAGAAGUUAGUAUUGGAUGUGUUUUGCUAAACCUGGAGUUCUACAUGUUUGAAGAGUUCAAAGUUCAAGAUGACAGUGUAAAUCUCAACAGUGAUUUGAAUUUUCUAUAUUCUUAAGUACUGUUUAUUCUCAGAGAAGAUUCCCAUCUGAUUUUGCAUAUGUAUUAAUUAAUGUUUGAGACUGAAAACGGUUGUAGACUGCUAACGUACAAAGUAAGUAGAAAAUUAUUGCAUUUUCCAAGAACAAUUAAAGUGUUAGACAUUUAUCUCGAUCAGUGAAUCUUAACUCAGUUUUUAAUUUCUCUAAGUACAUUUCAGAGCACUCUGGUUACGAGACUGUGGAUGACAAGUCUUUAUUCUAAUCUCAACUCUGUCUCUAUUUUACUAGCAAGAACAAAUUUCUAACCUCUCCACACCCACCUUUUGAAUUAUAAUGACAGGCUUAUCAGUGUUUCUCCUGGGAGAUAACAAAACUUAGCCAAUUGGACUUUUUUUGUAACAAGAAACCAUAUGGUCAUUUGAAAGUAUUUUGUUCCCACUCAGAGAAAAUUACAUAAUUGUGAGACUUCGUGGCUGUUAGAGUACAGGUUCUUCAUACAUAGGGCUACUAGAACCUGCAUUUGUAGUCAGUGUGUAAUGAACCUUCCUAACAAUCAAAUGACAGUUUUAGCAGAGAUGUGUUAUGGCGAAGAAGUCAAAAAUAUGGUGGCUAAAUUAUUAACACAAGAUGGUUAUACUAUAAUAUGUAUAUAUUCUUGUAUUUAAAUAUAUUUAUUUUAUUUAAGUAUAUGUGAAUAUAUAAUUAUAUACUUACAGACUCAUUCUUUUGACUUAAAUUUAAAUUUGCUGCUUUUGUUGUAACAAUAAGAAGAGAUUAUCAAACCUGAUAAUUCUCUUCUAAGAUCCACAGAACAUUAGAACACAUUUAGUGUGCACUGAGAUAAUUUGCCAAAGGAGUAUCAAAGUGUAUCUAUAGAUCUCAUUUUUAAAUGGCCAAAUACAUUUUGUACUUUUACCUUGGCACUUCUAACUGGUUAAAAGUCUCUGAAAUUCAGCAUUUUGAAAUUUCUACUGGGAUAAAUAUUAUUUAAACUAAUUUUUACAGUGCAUGAUAUGAGAGUAGAUAUUACAGAGAUUUGAGAUUCCUGUGGUUUCUAAAUCCCAGUACUGUUGCUUUAUUUUACACUUAUUGUAUCAGCAACUUUAUCUGGAAAGGAAAGGGGAUAAAACAUUUAUUUUGAAUAGAUUAAUUCUGUUACUGAUUUUAAGUAUUUCUUAUGUAUAAGCUUGGAAUUGUUUCCUUUGUAGCUUCAGAAGCCAUUUUGAGAUGUUGAUUGAGUAAGAUACUUCCAUUCAUAUUGCUUGUUAAGUUAGCAAGCAUUUAAAUGUGAUUAAAAAGAGUAAUUGCUUAACUUGGUAAAUCUAUGUGAAGUCUCUAAGACCAUGUCAGAGCUAAUCAUGACAAAGUAUCUUUAUAAUUCACUGCAUUUGGAUUUUAAAUAAUCUAUUACUCUUUAUAAUCUCACACGUAUUUAAGAAAGAAAUUAAUUUGCUAAGAGAGCAUGUUUAAAUAACAUUCUAGAUGUAACAGCAACAGAACAAAAGUGAUGAAAUAGAGAAGUAAGGCUCACACAUCAUUUUAAUCUGUUUUACAAUAAAUUUCAGAUCACGUUCCAGUUACAAAUGAGCUACUGAAGCAGUGCAUGGAAAAUGAGUUAAGGAAAAAACUGAUAUUGUCUUUUUUGUUUGUUUUUCUCUCAUCAGUUUUACCAUAAUAUUUGUAAAGGUGGGUUUUUUUUCUUUUUAAUUAAUAAUCUUAGAAUUUUCUUAUAAAAUUGCAUUAAAUUGUGUGAACAUUAUGUAAAUUUAAGAUCUGUUUACAUAUAGUGGCAGAGAAAGUGUUGGUCUGCCUUUAUGCUAAAUGCUGCUAAAUGAAGUGACCUCUUUUCAGUGGAUUAGCAAUUUAUUUCACUAUUUAAGAGCUAACAUUACCUCUUGAUCUUGAAGUUCAAUUAGUAAUUUUCUUUUCUUAAUCUAGAUUAAUUUAGAAUUCAGCAGAACUUAUUUUCUCUUUAAAAAUUUACCUGCUGUUUCAACUGUGUUCUCUAGUAAGAAUUCAGUAGAAUAUUUAAUGUUUUCUUUUCCAAAAAAAAGAACUCGGACUUUUUAGUUGUAGAAGUCAUAAUUUUCUGAUCCAAAGUCACAGGAAAAGGACAAUUAAGAACUAGAUCAGAGAAAUGUUUGACAUCAAACUCAUUCAAAUAUAAUAAACUUUUAGUGCAUAUUUUCCCUCAUCCUUUUUUUUUUUAUUAAUUACUGCUAUGUAAAAUAUGAAUAAUGCAGAAAAUAAAAAUGAAUUUAUAGAAUUACCUUUUUAGCUUAGUAAGGAAAAAUGUCCAAAUAGAUACUGUUCAUUAUGAAAAGGAUAAUUAUUUUCAAAUUAUUUUACCAGCUAAUGAACAGAUGCUUCUGAUCAUAUUUCUGCUGUGAAUUCAUGGGAGUUGAGAUAGUUGUUCCUUAAAUUUAAAGCUUUGGAGAAGUACAGUCAGUGAUCAGUUUUUUUCUUCAUUUCACUCAAUAUCAGAUCUAUAUCAGGUUCUCCUAUGCCAACUAGCAGUGUGCUUAGAGGAGCCAAUUUCUUGUUACAGCAGAAACUCCCCUAGAAAUGAAGGAAGUUGUAGGCUGUGCCCCUUUUAUUUCCAGCACACAGAAUGGCAGUGGUCUGAAGAGCAAAUGAAAACUGUGAGAUGGGAGAACGUUGGAAUCAUGGAGCACAGGUACUCCAUAAAAAAAAAAGUGCUAUUAUUUUUGAAAUAGGGUUAACUGUACAGCCCAGCCCCUGCCAGAUCCCAGUAACCUCAAAAAACUAAUGGCUUGGAAACAUAAUUUCUUUUCCAAAGUGCUCUCCAAAAUUUGUCUUUCAUUUAUAUCCAUCUCAUAGGUCCUUGGCUGAUUAAGUGGUUUGAAUCUUCAAGCUUGAAUAGCCUGUGUAUAUCAAAGGAAUGGGAAAACAUAUGUACUCAUAUAAAAUUAGGGGAUACCAUCUCUCUUUUGUGCUGAAUGGAUGUCAUCUAGCCAGCACCAGAUGGAGAAGAACCAUAAAUCCAUUCCUGGCUUACUCAAAAAAAAAUGUCUCUAGUCACAUUUUGUUUGAAAUUCCAGGUCCUUCUCUUAGUCCUGCUCCCUUGAUCUUUGUCCAAGCAACAGAACAUAUGAGAGGGUCAGUGUCCUCUUUGGCUUAAGCUGAAAUCAUUUGUUUAGGCAGCUUUUCCUAACCAGCACUGAAACCUGCUACUCCGGAUUAUUUUUGCAAUUAGCAAUUUGGCAACUUCUUUUAUCUAAAGAUGCCACAGAUGCUGCAAACUCAUUUAAUCAAAAUUGAAGAUUCAUUUUCUUUGUGCUUUGAACCACUGAUGUGCCAUCUCAGUUCUUUACUGCUUGUCCUGUGAGUAUAACACCAGAUGAUAACAAACAUUUACCAAUUUCAGUUUACACUGUAUAUUCCUAUAGUUUCUGCUUUAAAAUUUGGAUGGGUACCAGACAGCUAAUAUAUUUUUUGUAACUGAAAUCUUCAUGUUCUUCACGAUCUUCCAAAGACACAUUUCAGUUCUGUUUUGUAGCAUCUUAACAAUUUAUGCUACUCAUUGUACAGGUUUUAAAGUAAUCUCCAAAAUAUUUGCUACCCUGGCUACAAGAAUCAUUCAGUGACAACAGGCAGGAAGCACUCUGAGAUAAUGCUACAAGAAUUAUUUGGGAGAUUUGGCAGUCAGUAUUCAUUGUAGCUAUGAACGAACCAGUUUAUACAGGGAAAAAAAAAAAGAAACCUCCUCUAAAGUACUGUGGCUUCCCUUUUAACCGCAUCUUUAUUUCAUAAUCAGGUCUUUAUACUGUGAACAAUUUAGAAUGUCUAUAUUGAUUAAACCGUAGGAGUCUUCACUUUAAAUUCUAUCUGGUAUUCUGCAAACUAUAAUGAACAUUACCGAAUGCAUGGCAUCUUCUGGGAAACACCUUGAGAUUAUCAAGUUUAAUUUCCCCUAGGAAGUUCUUACAGCAGUGCAAUCAAGCUAACUUUUACUCUCUGUAAUGGAGUAAGAUUUAAUCUACAAUUUUCCAGCAACCACUAUUUCCUUAUUUUUUAUUCUUCAGAAAGAGCUGAAGAAUGGAGUUUUGCUCUGAUUUUAGGUUACUCUAUACUUUUUUCUGUAGUGCACCAUAAUGAAUAUCCUGCCCUUUUUUUAAGUAUGCUGAAUGAGUAGAAGCAGCUGAAACCCUAGGGUUGGUAAGGAAUUUAUGUAAAUAUUGCAAUUAAAUCUUGUCUGUAAUAAUAGGUGACCUUUAAUCUAGUUUAUAUUGAGUCACCUAAUCUCUCAGAUUCUAAUUGAGUGAUGAAGAUGCAAGGCUUCAUGAAAGGAAAGGAGAUCACAAGAAAAUAAUGAUUUUUUUGUGUAAACCAUGAUUUUCCAAUUACUCCUCUCAGCUGGGACAGAAAAAACGUCUAACUUGUGAUAUGUUCUGAUCCAAAAUUAAUCCCUUUGUAAACGUGUGUCUUUAGAUUAAAGGUUACUUCGGCUUUCUUCCAUGUAAGUUCUCAGCCCUUUUGGUAAUAUUAGUGCUAUCUUUUUUUUUCCCCAAAACAUUAUUAAAACAUAUUGGUAAGUAACGCUUUCAAUAAUGCAGAGAAAAACCCGGAUAAAUAAUAAUUAAAAUGGCAUGCAAGCUUUCUUUAUUCAACUUAUGUGGUGAACUUGGGUAAGAUUUGGAAUAAGAUUUGUGUGGCAAGAAAUUCCAGUCAGAUAUGAGUAGAGACAUUUGCUGCACCUUUGCAUCACAGAGAGGAAUUGGAAAAGAUUGGAUAUACUCACGGUGUCUGUAUACAUGCCAUUAGGAUCAUGCAAGAAAACUGUGAAGUGUCACAGAGAUCUUGUUUGUACAGUAGUUUGAAAUGUAAUGAUAACAAGUGCUUUAUGCUGCAGUAGGGUUACCUUUGUAUGUUAAAAGUAAUUUUUUCUUUUUCACAAGGAAGCUAAAUUCAGCCUCGCAGUGAAGACAGAGAGCUUAUAUUUUAUAUGGCAAGAACAGAAAUCAGUGCACAAGGGAAAGAUCACAUUUGGUGUGACAGUCUUGAAAAAGAAAAGGGUUUUGCAGAAGCCAAUCUGUGUAGGACACAGAUAUAUUUGCCAAAACCAGAAAGAAGAGUACUUUGAAAUGUCAUAGAGAAGCACUCAAACUUCAGUUUCAACAGAUGAAGACAGAUCCCAAGAAGAGUGUAAAAAUAGGCUUGUUCAGCUUAGACAUGAUGGCUAAAUUUGUGACUUUCCUGUGAAAAGAGAAAUUUGAGAGAAAUCCUUGCAGAUUCCCUACCCGUAGGUGAAAACACUAAUACAUGUCCUAUGAAGGAUAAAUUUGAAGUUUCAGGAAAAGCAAGGGAGUUGACAAAAUAUCAAAUGGGAGAUUUUAAGUAAAUGGUAGGCCAGUUGCUGUUUAAGAGGGCUGGGCAGGGAGCAGAUAAAGAAUUAAUUCUCCAUAUCUAGUUCAAAGAGACCAUUAGAAAUUUUGAUUGGUUUCACUGGAGUGAGAGGGAUGGGUAUCUGAACUGAAAGAGAGAUCAGAAGAUACACUGUAAAUAAAAAGCUUCAAUGAGUACAGAAAUGAGUCAGAUAAGAAUUGGAAAAAAAUAACUGAAAACACAAACAUAGCAGUGUGGGUUUUUUUUUUUUUUUUUAAAGAAACCUCAGUUUUACUGUAGAGCAAAUGUGAAAGAGCUACAAGAAAGUAAAGAUUUAAAGAGAGGUUACCCUGCACAUAUUGACAUUAUAUAGGGAGAAACUGAAGCAGAAAUAAAGAAGCAAUCGAGAAAACAGUUAGAAACUGUGGGAAGGUUAAUGGGUUUACAAGCAUGGGUUUAAAAAGGGGAGUUGUUAAUAUCUGUUUAGAAAAGUGGCAGAAACUAAAAAGUAUGAAUCUCUAGUACUGUAUCUGCAGUAGUAAUGACUACUAAAGUAGCUGUGGGAAGUCAUUGACAGCAGAGCUCAAGAUGACAACAGGAGCUGAAUGACACAGACAUCGCUGCAGAAGGUGCGGGAAGAAGCAGACUCAUCUGCAGGAGAUGGCAAUGCAGUAGGCAGAGAUUGUGCUUGUUUGCUGAGGGAUUAAACUUUUUUUCUUCCUAAAACGCUACAGAAAUGUUCCAUCAGGAAAUCUCCCUCAUACACAACAUGGUGCCUCUGUGAACACAGUCCAAAAGAGUUUGCUGAUAUACUUGCACUCCUUAAUUACUUUUUUCCUAGAAAUAGUUGCUUUCGUACUCUCCAAUUCUUGUAGCUGUUUGCUAAAAAUAAAAGGACCUGACAGUGAAUGCAAGUUUCAUAAAUGCAAAUACAGCUUUGCAGUACAAAUUAAAAAUGUGGCUUGAAUUAAAAUCAUUGAUAGUUUGUAGGUUGUUCAUGUUGUUUGUGUAGACCUCUAAUCACUUGAGGUAUGUCUAAGCUUUUUAGCUGAUACUUAGUGCAUUCAAAUCAGUAAAUUGAUCUCUUGGGUACAGAGCAAUUCAGUGUACCUUAGGUCACAGUGCAUAAAGUUACUUUUGUUGCUAUCUACAGAUUGUCUUGACAUGCAGCAUAUACCCACAGGUUCAGAAAAAUUGCCCUUUGAUUACAUGUACAAUAAUCUGGAUCUCCCAAGGUAUUCAAGUGGUUAAUUAAAUAUCAAGUAAUUGCUAAAACUACUAAGUGACAUUUAAUUAGUAUGUUAAUUGAUAUCAAAUUUGCUCUCACUAUCUUGUUUUAUGUUAAUAAAAUCCCUAAACAUUUCUUCAAAAUAGAUUAGGAAGCAAUGUGCUUCAAAUAUACUAAUUCAAGACAGCCUUAAGCAUUACUUCUGCUUGUGGAACAUACUUUCUGACUUAAAUUUUUAUCACAGAUGUUUUAUUUUGUCUAUCUUUAAACUUACUUUUUGCUAAGAAUGCAUCAUAUCUAGUAGUAUAGACCUCUCUUGGAAUGGAUUUUAGUUUCUAUAAGCACAUAAUCCCUUAGAAAUCUAUGUGAAGUGUGAUAAAUGUUAAUAGAAGUCUAGGGCUGCAUCUAUUCCCUUUGGCACCUACCGAGUAGAGAUAGUUGGGUGCUGUGGGGACUGCAUGGCGCCUCCAGUUGGCUAAUAUGAAUGAUGUAUUUCUGUGCGGACAUCUGAUCUGGGGUUUAGAAAUCUGUGCUCCACACAUAAUACAAAGCCACCAUAAAUGUAUUAAGUGCCUGAUUAUUCUGCAGCAGUGAAAUUUUGCUGUGGGGUUAGCUUGCAGGGUGCUCCCCUCCUCCUCUCCAUAUCCUACCCAGGAAACAGCCCUACUGUAGCUUUCACAUUGAGCAUUCCAAAAUUCUCAUUGCUUUCCUUUGCUGAAGAAACCAACUGUGAUGUAGAAAAAAGAUGCCUUUAGGCCUGGGUCCAAAAAAAAAAAAGACUGACUGGAGUUCAGGCCGACAAUAGCCCCAAGCCUGUCCUUCCUUUCAACCACUGUAGUGCUCCCUAUGGUCUCAUCAAAAACAGGUGAGCAGUCCAAAGUUGAAGCUAGUAGGGAGGAAGUUGUUUUCAUAAUGGUUAAUUUGAAAACAUACUGCAAAAUAUUUCCAUGAAUAUUCAUAUGAAUAUUUAAAUGAAUUCCUUUCAGCUGUGCUCAUGCCUUUUGUGUGUUAGUUUUCUGUGGAGUUCCUUUUCCAUUUUAUUGGUGCCAAUGCACAGAGAGAGUUGGUUUUACAUAUGAGAUCACAAAAAGGAAAGUUUAAUUUAUUCUCCAUGAGCAUUCACACCCAAUUACUUCAGAAGAGUCCAACUGGGAAGUAGAAACAAUGAUUUAUGACCACACAUGACUGAACUGCAUAGCUCAGAUUCCAAUCCUUCCCAACUUCAAAAUCUAGAAUAUCCAUAUAAGUAACAUAAGCACUAUAAACACCGUGAAGGGGAAACAGGUUGAGGAGGGACUGUCAGAGAAUUUUAAAUUAUGAAUAAAGAAAAGUGUGAUCUGUUUAUUCAUGGAUAUGUCACAGAAAAAAAAAAAGAAAAUUGGUAAAAUAAAUUAUUCAUUAAAAAGUAUUCAGCUGUAGUUAUGUGUCAUCCAAAUACUGUUAUAGAAUGAAGAAUACUGCAGAAUGAUAAUGAUAGGUGGAAGUUGACAGUGAUUUUCAACUUUUUUUAUUGAUUUAUUUGAAUUUCUGUGCUUUCUUAUAUGUGAUGUACCUAAAUUUCAUAGCUUCUCACAAUUUUUUGAAGUUUUCUGUUUCUCUGAAUAUAUUGUAAUAAUCCACAUUUACUAAUACAAAAAGCUUGUAAUCAGUAGUGUAGUAUUUUAAAUCUUUUAUAAUACAAAGUGAAUUUGUUGCUGCUAUUUGUAUUUUAAGUAGCCUAUCAGUUGAUAAAGAAAGUCAAUACUGACACAUAUUUGUUAAAAAAAAAAUCUAUAGAUAAACUUUUCAUUGGCUUAAGUAUUGGUACCUGAAGUUCCUUUCUACCUUCUCCACUCUCAACCCGUGGUAACAUGCCUAAAUGUCUGGUCAUGGUCCUUAUCACCAGCAGAGGUUCUCUGUUCUCCCCAGAUCUGCCUUCCACCUCAUAUUAUUUAGUGCCCUGAGCCCAUCUUCAAGUUCAGCUCCAGCUGGAGUGUCUCUGACCACCUUUUCUCUGCCUCCAUGCUUCCUGAGCACUAACGGAGGCAGUGGAUCACAAUAUACCAUGCCUCUUCCUUUUCAUACGAAGCAGUUCCAAGUCACUGCCAAAUCAUUAAGCAAAUGACUGUAUUCUGAAUGCCCCAUAGGAAUUCAGUGGAAACUACUGCCUGACACAAAAGCAAGAUGCAGCUAAUCAGCUGCUUACUGCAACACAGCAGCUUUGCUCCCAGAGCACCACUGGGAAUGCCAAAACAAAUCCCACUGAUCUGUGUGACAGGUAGCCCGUUGCCUUCAGACAUGAAUCUUAAGCACUUCCCUCAUUAUGGCAAGAUGCACAGGUAGCAAUGCGCAUAUAGCAUCAGGACCUUUUUUUUGCUCCCACAUUGGCCAGAUCUAUGCCCACUGUUCUUCCCCCUUCACUUCAAUCAUUUUACAGUUGCGAUUUUCCAUUCUAAUAAUAUCCAAACCUUAUUGGUUCCUUUUUACCUCUGCAUGCAGUCAUGCUCUCUAGUCAUUUGAAAUUGAAUUAAUGAAUGCUAUAACGUUAUGAUUUAUGUACACUCUUAAGCAUAUCGAAGGAAAGAAGUAUGUUGGCAUGAAAACCUGGUAGCAAAAGGACAUUUACAUUUCCUGACUGGCAGAGGUAGAAGUUCUUCCACGUUCAUUUCAUUAUACUAUCCUUGGCAAGAUAACGUGAGCUUGAGAUCAACCUGUUUACUUCCUUAGAGAUUUUCUUAUUCAUGUUCUUUUUUGUUGUUGUUGUUGUUGUUUUUUCUUUGUUUUUUUUUCUAUAGAAAACAGUAAGUCUUGUGAUAAGGACUGGAGUAUGAUAAAGGUCUUUUUUAUUUAUAAGUUUCCAGUUGCUUCAAUUAUAGUUUGAAACAGUUCUUGCAAACUAAACUACAUAGCUUGAAGUAGAAUGGUGAUUUGGACUGUAAAUAUUCCAGCACCAGUAUUAGUGCAUUACAGCAUUGAUUUUUCCUUUUUCGUUCCAACUAGAAGAGUAACCAGUACUUACUAAAAGCUUUGCUAGCAGUUUCAUAAUUUUCUGCAUGGCUAACAUAAUUUCAUUUGUUUCAAUUUCAUUUUUUUUCAUAAGGGAAAUAUAUUGCAGACUACUCAGCUAAUUACAAAGGGAUUCAUUUUCUUUAAAGUCCAGUAAGGUAAGAAAACAUUUGACAUUGGUUUAUAAAUGAUUGAAGUUUUCUCAGCAUAUCAUACAUUUGUAUGUAGUGAAUAAUAUCUCAUGUUUACGUGCAGUUUUCAGAUAUAAUAGUAUAUUUUGUAUGCACAUUGUCUGUGCACACAUUUGUAUAAUUUUCUGAUUCUUGGUUUAUUUUAAUGAGUUUUGUUUUUAUAAUGAAUGCAUCUACCAACUGUGAAAAUCUACACAUCACAUCUACCCACAUAAAUAAGAACAGUGACCUCUCCAUGUAUUUAAAUAUAUAUACACAACAACUUAGGCAUGAAAAAAAUUCACAGGCAGUAGAGUGGGAGUCUUCAAAUGGGAAUCUAUCAGAAUCAGGCUCAGAGGUAGUUUGUUUGACAUCCUGUGUGUGAUCAUUGCUUUUACUACUUUGCAAACUGCUCCUGGGGAAAAGGGUCCUUUUGACACCCUCUUUAUUAAAUCCCCAGUAGGCAUAAGCACUGCUUAAGUUUACUGUAAAAUAGUCCUGAGAGAUUAUUAGUUUAAUUAGAAAGAUUAUUGCUAUAUAAGUACUCUAGAAGGUUGUUUUUAUAUUUUAGAAGAUUCCUGGCAUAGAAUUCAAGUUACUUUGCAAUAAUGUCUCUAUUUUGAAAUCUUUCUUCAGUAGAAUAAAACCAACAGGUUUUGCUACAGAUUCUUGCAGUUUUCAGGAUAAGACUGAAUAUGUAUUCCAUCACGAUGAAUCUUGCACAAAACCAGUCCAGAAUUGUUAUUGGCUAUGGAAAAAAUUAUUCUCUGGAUAAAAUCUGUUUUGAAAUACUAAAAACAGAUUUUGAAUUAUCCAGAAGAGAUGAUUUUUUGAAGAAAUGAGUUCAAGUUACUACUUACUACUACUGAGUGUAUUUCUCAAUAUCUUUUGUGAAGUUCUACUGAAGAUUUAUAGAAUAAAAAGAAAAAAAAACAGAAACAAAGAUGUGGUGGCUAAAUACAUAGCAGAGGUAAACAAACGAUCUAGCCCUGCAGACUGGAGAGAGUCGAUGAGUGUUGUUUUCAUUGAUUUAAGUGAUUUCUUAGAUCUAGACAUUCCUCAUCUGCAAGCCAAUAAAUAAAUAUUUGAAGAAAUUUACUAUUAAAAUCUUCAUGAAGACAAGUGUAACGGAAAAUCCAACAAAAUCAUGUUUCAACGUGUAUGAGAAACAUUUCCCUCAAGCAUUUCAGUUAUAGAAAGAGCAAAUACCUAAUAUUUGGCCUAAGAGAAGGUCUUAAUAAUAAGGAUGUUUCCUUGUACUUCUGAAAGCAACUGCAGAGAAACUUGGCUUCUCCUGCUGAUCCAUAUCUGUUUUAAGAUAGAAUUGUCUGGUCUCUAGGGCUGCUAAUCUGCCUUCUUCCAUGGGCAUUAGAUUCCUAUUAAAGAAAAAAAUACAACUUUGCGAUGAGCUCUUCUGAGGUCCUAUCUAAACUACUGAGAAAACUUGAGCGAGGGGAUGCUCUUUUGUGCUGUACUUUCACGUCUAAAAGCAUUUCUGCUUUAAUUCAUUCUCUUUACUUCUGCUGUGCUGAGUAUUAUUAUAGUCUAGUGAGUUCCUGAAAGUGGGAAAUGCCAAAGAAACAGGUGUCAGACUUCAAAAGAAGAAUUUGUCAAGACUUAAUGUUCUGAAGCUAAAGGUGACAGCUCAACCUAAAUAAGCUCUUCUCAACAGGAUUUAAGUUUCCUUAAUAAAAGAAGUAAUCAUCGAAAGUGAACUGCUAAUCUAACAGCCUAGAGAGUAGUUUUUAAAAAAUGUACAUCAUUUGACAAGAUAUCUUGAUUUAAAGACUAUUUGCAGUGUAGUGCUUAUAGUCCAAGGUUGUUUAUAUUCCCCUGAUAAGGCAAUUUAUGAUCUACAAAACACAAGUCUGCAGCAUGAAUGUUUGUGGGGAUAUUCAUGGGGCUGGUUGGCCUUUGCUUGCCUCGUGGUAAGGGUAGAUUCUAGAAGAAAAACACUACAGAAAGAGCAAGGAAUUAGUAGAAAAACAGUCCUAAUAAAAGUAAAUCUUUUUUCUUUGUGUUCCCUCUCACAUCCAUCCAAAAAAUAAUAAUAAAUAAGAUAAUUGCUGUUAAAGGGAAACUUACUGAAGAACAGAGGAAAAAAAGAGCAAUAUGAGUUAUAUACAUAUAUCCUGCUUACUAUUUUUCUUGUUAAGUCUUCACUAUGUUCAUAAAUAUUAUCCAGGCUGGCAAUUUAUCUGUUUCAAUAUACAUAAUCACCAAGAAUAUUAAAUAAGAUUUAAGAAGCAUAAGUAGCAGCAUCCACUAUUUCAGAAAAACAGUGCUGUCAGUUUUGAUUAAAAGUCUGAUAGCAUCGUAAAUGGUGCCUACUUUGUGACAUUUUGAAGUUGUGGAAAGUAGAGCUACUCAUUAGCAGUAUGUGCUAGUGGUAUCAGAAUACAGCCUUUUUUUUUUUUUUCCUUUGAGUCAUUUUCCAUGUUCAUUGAUCAAAAUGGAUACACCACAUCAUUCUUGUCUCUACUUGACUAGUCACAUAAGCAAUCUAUGAGCGGGAAGUCCAAGAGGAGCUGUGUUACCCUCCAUUUUUUAUUCAUCAGACUUUUUUUUUUGUAACAAGCCAUUGCUUUUUGUAAGCAUUUAUUCGUUAGUUAACCUUCAGCACUAUCUCCCUAGCAUUUAACUACAUAUUUGGUCCUUUACAAAGAGGGCACUUAAAUAAAGUUGGCUGGUUGUGUUACCAAUCUUAGCCAAGGAUUUGGCAUAUUACUCUUUGUGUACGCUUCUUUAUAAAUCAUGCUGAUAUUGAUUUCUCCUGUCAUUCAUUCCCCCUUUUUGAAAAUCUUUUAUUAUGUUUUGGGUUUGGAUUUUAUCACUUUUUUCAGGGGUUUAAUUUUGAAGGAUGUACUUGCCUAUAUUUCCAUACAACACCAAUUAGUAAUUUCAGUUACUCAGUAAUGAAUAUGAUUUGUUUCCAUUUCAGAAGAAUAUUUUUAUAGGCUUAAUGUGUUUCUGCAUCCAAAGCUGUUGUACAGAUUCAUCAAUCCACUUGUAGGCUGUAGCAAAGAUAUUAUCAGUGGCUGUGUGGGCUCAGGAGUUACCACUGCAGUUCUCCUUUCCUUCAGGUGGUGAGUGUGGCAGUUCUAGCUCCCAUCCUGUAACAAGUUGUUUACAGAGAUGGAAGGAUGCUUGGACGUUUCAAAACUGCUUUUUGCUAGUAUCAGUUGAUGUAGAGGUUUAUAUUAGGAAACCUUAUAUUUUAUAUAAGCUCCCACAAACCUUGCUUUGUCUGUUCAGACAUCCUAUAAUUAAAAGACAGUGAGUCUUAUGGAAACAGUCAGAUGAAGCACACUCUCAGUGUGCAUUUUCUCAGUAUGCUUGGAUUUACCCAUCAAAAAAAUGACUGUAAUUCCUUACCACCAACAAUUCAGUAAUCAGCUGUAUGUGCUUGGUGCUGUCUGCAGACUGUGUGGUUAGCAGUAUAAUGUAUUUUUUAAGGAAAAACAAAGUCUUGCCUGUGUGAAAGUGCUGAUCAAUAUCUGGUCUGGUCAUCAAUGACACUACAAGGUCUAAAGGCAUAGCUGUAUACAUAAGGUAUAUGAAAGCACCCUGAUAUGGAUAAGAGUAUUCCUGGUCUUUUUGGAUGCAUUUAGUUAGUCUUUUGACUGGAUCAGGGUUAUGUACAAUAAAGAAUUAAUGGGUGUGCAUGUAUUUGUGUAACAGUGCUACACUAAGAUGAGUAAAAAUUGGGCCUUGAGGACAUAAGAAUGGAGAGCUGCAGAUUUUCGUUGUUCUGAUGAAGUGAGGCAAAACAAAAGUAUCUGCACGGAAAAAAAAAAUAAUAAUCAUGUGAUGCUCUUGAAUGUUUGCUUUUCUGGAACAGUAUAGUUCCAUCUUCUUGUUCAGCAUUUGUCUAUGAUGGAUGAUGUGACUCAAAGUCGUCCAUAAAUUCUAGUGGCAAAGCAGCACACAAGAAAUAUAGCUGAAUUUUACUGAUCUUCACCCUAGAAUGGCUUUUUUCCAGUUAUUUCCUUAUAUUUGCGGUUUGUACUUUUGCACAUUAUCAGAGACAAGAGGUUUCCAUCAGGAUGAGCUAAGAGUAUGUUUUUCUGCAAUUACUAUAUUGAUUGAUUCCUACAUUUCUAAGGUAAUAAACACAUCUUCAUAAAAUUUUGCUCACAUUAGAGUAUCUGUAAUAUCACUCCAAUUAAUUUUUAUUCUCCUAGUACCUCAUUGUUAUAACACUUUAAAAUUGCAAAAAAAAUGCAUGUAGCAGUCAGUGAAGAUCAGAGAACCACAAAUGGUGAUUUUUAGAGGUUUGUAAUACAUAAUUGAAGUGUCUUCUCAUAAAGACAAACCCUGCAAUGUCUUUCACUGUAUUACAAUUAGUCCUGUCAAGUUUCCAAUUCUCUUUCAAACUAGGGCCAAGGAAAAACCUUGCAUGUGCACUUGUCCUCACUGCUGGAAACAGGUCACUCCAGACUUUCCAAAGCAUGGGAAGGAUCAGUGAAAAAUAAUUCGAAUUCCAAUGAUUAAAAUAGAACUAUUAUAAGGAAUUUAAAAUAGCCUACACUAAUAAAUAGAUAGCCCUAAUCAUAGAGGUCUGUUAGGUCCAUUUGUAAUACUUGAUAAAAUCAGUAUAUUUAAGGAGAAGGAAAGCAGAAGUUAUAAACAUAGAAUCCAGUGAAAUAGUUCCAUACAUAAUUGUUGCACCGUAAGUGAACAAUAGCAUCUCAUAUUCUACCUUUUUUUUUUUUACUACAACUCAGUGUCAUGAGUUGUGUUAUCUGGGCUUGCAAUGCUGGAAAUUGGACAUAAAUUAUGGAUAUUUUCUACUGACCUAUAUAUUAAAUGAUCAAGAAUUAUAGAAGUUUCAUGCUAUAGUCUGUUCUGCAUGUAUAUUUAGGGAGAAUGAGAAGAAUAUUAAAAAAUGGUUGUUUCUUCUAUUUCAAAUAAUAAAAGUAGUUGUUCUGCUACAUAUACAUAAAGCAUUUCUCCCAAGGUCAAAGGGAGAAGUCAGAGUGAAAAUAAAAAUUACUCCUGUGAGUGGUUUGCCACAUGAUCUUUUCUAUGUUUUGAAAGGUCAAAAACUGUGGGACAAAUCUAAUAAACAGAUCUCAGAAGUAUUCUAUUCAAUAUCUGAGGAAACAUCACAGAAUGGUAGAAUUGGGAUUUUGCUACACUGAAAUGCCGAUUGUUUUGAGAUCUUUUGUCUUGUAAUUAUGAAGGUGGCUCAGUUCCAAGUGAGUCACUGAUUGGGUAAGCCCCUUUCCAAAGGAGAAAAUAGAAGCAUUCUUUAGAAUUUCUGUAUGCUGAUAUUAGAAAGUGUUCAAAGUGAUGCUUGGAUCUUCUUUCCCCUUUUCUGUACUGAGCACCAGUAAGAAGCAUAACAGCAGGUUAACCACUUCCUGUACAAUCAGUAGUUCAAAGUCAUUUGCAUUUUUGGAGAAACACUUCAUAAGUAUUUCUACUGUAUGCAGAAAAUAACCUCAAAAAAAUCUGAGGAAUCCCCGGUCCUUUCUGGCUAUUUUCUUAUUGAAAAUAAAUAAAUAAAUAAACAAGAGCAAAAAGGGAAACUGUGGUAUCAUAAAGGCAGUGUACUUGGAAAUACCUGUCAAAAUCUUAUAUCUUCAAAAUGAUUUUACACAAUUCUUAAUUUUAUUAUUUUUAAUACUUAUGUCUAUUUAUAUACUUGUAUACAAUUCUGCAGACAUAAUUUUGACUGCAGUUGCAUGUGUUGAUUGUAGGUGACAGGACAAAAACGUUGGGUUCUCUAACUAUAGACGCACAUUUCAUUUUUCAAUAUGCAGUAGUAGUAAAAUUAUGAUGGUAUACCUCUGUCUAUACAGUCAAGCUUCUGUUUCAAAGAUUAUAGGUGUGAUCGUUAUCUCACUCAUGCUGACUCUUCUUCAAUAUCAUAUCACCUGUUUCAGUGGAACUGGUUGUGAUUUAAGUUGGCAAGGAUAAAAUCAGCCUUCAUGAUGAUUAAAGCUGAUAGCCGCUCAAUAUGAAAUACAGUAAUUUUGACACAUAUUUGCACAAUGUUAUAUUGCUACUUGCUCUACUUGCUUCCCCAGCAUCGCUCACCCAUUUUUUUUUUUUAUUUUUUUUUUCUUUCUUUUGCUAUGGACUGUUUCUUUACCCUAAAAAUAUAUUGAGGCAUUUAUCAUAUGAGCUAAAGUGUGUAAAGGUGCUGUACUUGACUGGAGCGUGUACAAACCUUCUACAAUAACACAAAUAAAUGAAAAUAAUUGACAUAUGUCUUGUCCGUUUCUUACUAAGGAUAACUGUUUUAUAACAGCACUAUCCAGCCCAGUAUCCAUGUGGUAUCUAGUACACGUCCUUAGGGGGGUAAAAAAAAUCAGAACAGAGCAAAUAUAUCCUCAAUGAGGGAGCAGUUGGAGUCUGCAGACAAUGUGGAGCAUUACUUCAGAGGAGCAAACUGCUAUUCUAAAGGCUGGGGACUGAAAGUUAAAGGUAACAACUGAAAUGAUUUUAGUGUUGUUCUUACAGCAGAAACUUCCCAGAGGCCCCAAACACUUUUCAUUCCUUCCCUUGUGCCAGAAGCACCAAUUCAUUCCUACACAGGAUUCAAAUUGCACAGCUGUUCCCUCGAUAACUUCCACAAUGCAGUUUGUUAUUGCUAAUACAGAAAUCCAUAGCACAUUGAAAAGCGGAAAUAAAAUGCAAGAUAUCUAAUGGCUGGAUACUUUUAGGAUGACUUAAAGAAACCAUACAGGAACACUUCAGGAUUUCUAUGGCAAACUGAAGUUUUCUGGUGGGAAGAAGUCAGCAUAAGUCAUUGACAUCUUCUUCUUCACAGAGGGAGCAACCUGAAUUGAUGCUUUAAGGGAAAAGAAGAGUAUGAUAUAAACACAGUUUGCACCUGGAAACCAUGCUUACUAUGCUCUGCAUUGCCCACAGUGGGAGAAUGAUGCUGCAAACUCACCUGGUCUCUUCUUCAGCUUCUGCAACAGGAAUGGUGCUAUCCCCCUGAACAUGGAAAUGAAAAAUACGAAAGACAUGCUGUGUUGGAGUUUUCUUCUAAUUGCUUAACUUCAGAAUUUCGCUCAUCUGCUACCAAAGUGCUAAUUCUCUGGGACUCUUCAUAGUAGUAUCACUCCUAUGUAUUUACCUAUGAAAUUCUUCUAGUAGAUGAAUUGUUUACUCAUAAACCUUCAAUUUCCACUUCACUUAUUUAAAGUGAGUUUCUUCUUUCAGAAUGAACUCUGGAUCAUGGCUUUAAUUUAAUUUAUCUCUAAGUAACGCAGAGCAGAGCUUCAUUUUAAGGAGAAUGGAAAGAAUAUAAUAGUACAUUUCCAUCUAUAAAUUUUACCCAUUGUAUUACAACAGUUUAGGAACUUAUAUGUACACUUUAAUAUAUUCCCUAUUAAAGCAAUCUCACAUAAAAUAUCCAUUGUUGCUAUUUAUUUUCACUUUUUACAGUGAUUUCUAUUCCAAAAAUAAAG